CUGGAAAGGCGUGCGAUACAGGGUGACAGCCCCGUACACAAAAAUGCACAUAUUGUGAGCUCGAUGAGUAGGGCGGGACACGUGGUAUCCUGUCUGAAUAUGGGGGGACCAUCCUCCAAGGCUAAAUACUCCUGACUGACCGAUAGUGAACCAGUACCGUGAGGGAAAGGCGAAAAGAACCCCGGCGAGGGGAGUGAAAAAGAACCUGAAACCGUGUACGUACAAGCAGUGGGAGCCUCUUAAUGGGGUGACUGCGUACCUUUUGUAUAAUGGGUCAGCGACUUAUAUUCUGUAGCAAGGUUAACCGAAUAGGGGAGCCGAAGGGAAACCGAGUCUUAACUGGGCGUUAAGUUGCAGGGUAUAGACCCGAAACCCGGUGAUCUAGCCAUGGGCAGGUUGAAGGUUGGGUAACACUAACUGGAGGACCGAACCGACUAAUGUUGAAAAAUUAGCGGAUGACUUGUGGCUGGGGGUGAAAGGCCAAUCAAACCGGGAGAUAGCUGGUUCUCCCCGAAAGCUAUUUAGGUAGCGCCUCGUGAAUUCAUCUCCGGGGGUAGAGCACUGUUUCGGCAAGGGGGUCAUCCCGACUUACCAACCCGAUGCAAACUGCGAAUACCGGAGAAUGUUAUCACGGGAGACACACGGCGGGUGCUAACGUCCGUCGUGAAGAGGGAAACAACCCAGACCGCCAGCUAAGGUCCCAAAGUCAUGGUUAAGUGGGAAACGAUGUGGGAAGGCCCAGACAGCCAGGAUGUUGGCUUAGAAGCAGCCAUCAUUUAAAGAAAGCGUAAUAGCUCACUGGUCGAGUCGGCCUGCGCGGAAGAUGUAACGGGGCUAAACCAUG
rnacentral:rRNA from 1 species